ensembl:lncRNA
GGAUAUUUUUCAGAUAAUUGCACUUGGGAGAUCAUUGAACUUUUUGAUUGUGUGAUUUAGUGUUUCUCUUUAAAAUGAAAUUUGAGAGCAAGAAUAUGGAGUUGGGGAUAUCCUACUCAUCUCCUUCCAAAGAAACAAGCAUUUGGCAGCCUUUCACAGAAAAAAAGCACAGUUGUGAGUGCACUGGAAUUCAGGUCAGAGGUAGCAAACCUCAGGAUAGCCCAAGAAUGAAGACGGCUGCUUUAAAUACUUAUUAUAUUGGGUAAUGACAGAAGAAAGCCACUGUACUAGAAAGGGCGUAGCCCAGACUUGCUGUAAGAGGGUGAUUUAUGCACCAGACCAUAGGCUGACACUGAUGACCAAGGACACCUGGGGCUGAGCUGUACACCCAGGGAAGCAGGUAAGUGUCAGGGAAGGGUGUGUGUGAGAACACCAAGCUGGUUGUGCCCACAGGGAGGGGGACUUGCUAAUACAUUGUCAGGAACAUCACAAAGUGAGGUUGUACUUUUAUUUCUUUUGCAAUUACGUAUUGAGUGUGCACAGUACUGUAGGGGCUGGGAGGGGAUAAAAGAGCUGAAUGGCUUUCUCUAGAAUGGUGGCCUGUCUCCUGAGUAGUAACUUGCUGACCCUGCCCCUGAAGUGAAAAAGAGGGUGAAGGGCUACUUGCUCAAGCUUGUUCUCUUUUCUUACCUCUUCCCCCUCUGUGGUUUCCUCUGCCGCUGAACAGGGCCCAGGCAGCCUGCCAUGAGAUCGUGCUCCAAGGACCGGCCGUUCUGCUGGACCCACGGGCUCCUGGUAUUCAUCAGCCUGCUCCUCAGUGUCUGCAGCUCUGCAGCCAACACUUCCGGAGCGCAUGGCUCUGCUGUGAAGGAUUCUGAAAACCACAUUUAUCUGAAGCGCAUCCGAGGAGGUUCUGUCUUGUUUAAUGUGACCGAGAAGCCCAUGGCAGAUGCAGGAGCCAAAAUACAGGAGGUUUUAUGGGGUUUGGGCACUCCGUCAAAGUACAUGCGGCUGCUGCAAGUCCGUAGAGGAGCCGACUCUCCCACCUGGUUUAACCUCCAGGACAAGUUCAAGCAGAGGGUCCAUGUGCCCAGCCUGUGGUCUCUGAGGAUUGAGAACCUGGCCCCUGAAGACAGUGGGCCAUACGUGGCCAUGACCAGCUUAACUGAUGGACAAACGCUUGGUCACGUUUUCUACCUGACUGUCUAUGAGCCUGUGCCUCACCCUGAGAUCCUGGCCAAGUCACUGUCUAUCACACCAGGCCUGUGUAACAUCACUCUGGAGUGUAGGGUUCCAGGGGCCACCCAGGAUCUGAAUGUGACUUGGGAGAGCAAGGGCCUCUUCAGAGAGCUGGAACAGAGAGACACACCAGGAUCAACCGCCAAGCUUUGGACCCUGGCUGUGAGCCUGCCCCUGAGCCAGCAGAUUGGCGAUGUCACCUGUGUGGUCAGCAACCAGGUGGAUCAGAAAGCUGCGACCUUAGACCUUGGAAAAGUCUGUGCCCAAGGAACAAGUACACAAAAACAGGACAUGAUUAGACUGCUGCCAGGCAUCCUAGCAGCUGCUGUGGGUGUCCCGUUGGUCCUGGGAACUGGGUUGUUCCUUUUGAAGACAUGUCAGAAGAAGAAGAAGACAACAAUGGAAAUAAAAAGGGGUGGAGGAUUGCAGAAGAACCAUGGGGUUGAUGAUGGUGGCAUCUCCUUUGAGACGCUCAGCCAGCAAGUGUCUCGGAAGGGCAAGGGCAAGAGCAUCGGUGAACAAUAUCUGGGAAAAAAGGAAUCUGUCACUACUAUCUAUAGUGAGGUCUGUUAUCCAGACCAGACGAUGGAGAUCAUUUGAUUGAAGGAAGCAGGAGGAUCUGGCACUCCCAGGACACCUGCACUCUGAGCCUAAGUCCUGCAGACCCCUGCCUUUCCCAGCUCUGGUUCCGUUCCAGCUUCCCAUGUGUGUGUUACUCUGACCUCAUAGCUACAUUUCCAGAGGGUACACAUGGCCUGGUUGUACUCUGUGACACUUCCCCAAGCUGCCCUUACACUCGGGCAAGGACUAUUCUCCGUCAUUGAGAUGGCUGCUGACCCCUGUCCUUCAUAAGCCUUCCCAAGAGGAGCCUGUCUGAUUGAGCACGUAGCAAAUUCCCACCACCUCUGCCUUGUCACUGGUGUGAGUACUUCUGAGGACACAAGCCCAGACAUGGGGACUGUGCAGAAGUGCUGACUGUGCUGCAGAGGAGGGUGGUGGCACCUGGCUUUUGGAUGCUGAGUUGGAGGACAGUGUGUGUGGAGAGAAACCAAUAAAGGAAAAGGCCAAGGCAAAUUUGUGUAGGGGUGUCUUGAGGGUAUCGGGCAGUGUGUGUGCAUGCAUGUUGGGGGGAUUGCCUAGUGCACAUUAUCCACCUGAACCAAAGCCACCUUUCUUAUCACCUCUGCUAUUCUGAACCUAUUUUCAGCCAGGCCUGUGGAUUCAAACUCAACUUUUUGUGCAGUGGAAAUAGAAAUGUGUGUCAUCUCAAAACCUCAACCGCAGUCUCAGGGAAUGACAUUAAGAGGCCACAUUUGGGGGAUGUCUUAGGAAAACAGCCUCAGCUCUUCUCGUCUUCUAAGUAUAGCACACUUGGUUGUAAGAAUAGAUGCGUGGUAUCGUUCCACAGCCCCUUGGUGAGGGUACUUGGGCUCUGAUGGGUGAAGCUAUUGAGAAGAUCUGACUCAGCCCUCUGGAGCUUCUUCUCAUUCUGACCCUCAGUGCCCCACAGCCACGCUGGCCCCAAACUCUUGGUCAACCACUGCUUGGCUCACUUUCAUCCCUCUGCCUGAAAUGAAAGUUUCCUCUGAGUGUCCCUCGCCCUCACCCCUGCCUGUUGAAAUCCUAGUGUGCUGCUCAAAGCUCUUCAGAGAUGCUUGUUCUAUGAGCUUUAUGAGUCUUAAAAGUUUAAAAAUGAUGUCUUCCAUAUCUGACUUUUCUGAAUACCUUGUACACGAUGUAUGGUCCCUGCUACCAUUUGCCUUGGGUUGGUCGUGGGUCCUCCUACGGUACUAACCUGGGCUCUCUCAGGAGGGUGUGGGGCUGAGCGGGAAAAGGCUCAAGACAGGCAACUCUUGAUGCCAAUGUGAGGACACAACUGUUCCCUCUUCUGCCAUGUGAGAACACAGUGCUCCUCCUUCCACCAUGUGAAAACAAGGUGUUCCCUUCUCUUCCACCAUGUGAGAAGACCCUCUUCCCCACUUCCACCAUGUGAGGACAUGGUAUUCCUCCUUCUACCAUAUGAGGACAUAGUGUUCCUGACUUAAAUCAUGUGAGGACACAGUAUUGCCCAUUCCACCAUGUGAGGACACAGUGUUUCUGGCUUCCAUAAUGUGAAGACAUGGCGUUCCCACCUUCCAUCAUGUAACGGCACUGUGUUCCCACCUUCCAUCAUGUAACGGCACUGUGUUCCCACCUUCCAUCAUGUAACGGCACUGUGUUCCCACCUUCCAUCAUGUGAGGACUUCAUGUUCUCCCCUUUCACCACUGAGUGCAUUGUGUUUCCCCCUCUGCCAUGUGAUGAUGCCACAAUAAGAUGCCAUCUGUGGAGCUGAAGCUGAGCUGAAGAGACAUUGGAUCAGGCUUACCAGAUGCUGAAUAUGGUGGCGCCUUGAUAUUAGACAUCUCAGUCUCCACAGUAUGAGGAAUAAAUUUCUGUUAUCUACACAUCACCCAGUGAUUUACACAUCUCAGGUAUUUUGUUAUAGUAACGAAAUAGACUAAGGCACCCUUGGAAUUUUGGAAUAUAGAAGUAUCCUCCUGUUGUCAAUCUCCCAAAGAUCCUGGCCUCCUGACUCAUGAGCCUCAACUCAGGCUGAGCUCCUUGGUGCUGGAAAAACUAAUGAUUCAAAGAGAAAUUGCCCCUUGAGUGGCAGUAGAGCCCUGCUUGGGCAGAAGACAGGGAAUAAGGGACAUUGCACUCAAAUGUAGAUGAGACAUUCAGAGUGGUCUUUAUCCAAAUUUUCCCCAUUCAUGGUCGAUGUCAGACCAUGUCAUCAUCCACAUCCUCAAUUAACCUUCCGCUGAUGAAAGUUUUCUUCAUAAAGUCAUUCAGUAUGUGACAUGGCAAAAGCCCCAUAAAACUGCCCACCUCAACCAUACCCCGGAUUUCUAUUGAAACUGCUUUCUGUAACCCAAAUGCGUCAGGCAAGCAGUCCAAACCCAUUCCAUCUUGGCCCCUGUGACUCAUAAUAAGUAAUUAAGGACUGUAAUUUCCACCCUACUCAGACAAUGCAUAAACAAAUGCUAAUCUUGACUUUUGUGAACCACUUCAGUAACAAUCAGAAUGUCAAACGUCCCCUGGACCUUGGAAUGUCCGGAGCCCCUCACCCUCAUCACCGCCCAGGAGGUGAUUUACAGACUCCACUGGCCCUCAGAAUAUCUGAAGCACCUCAUCCCCAUCCUCACUCCUCACCCUCACCCCCGAGGUGGUUUUAGGGUAUAAAAGGUCUUGACACCCUCCUUUCUGGGCCAUGGGUUGGAGAGACCCGAGUCCUCCGUGGCUGCCGGAAAUAAAGACUCUCCAAUUUGGCAUACUUUUGUCUUGGUGUUGACUUUUUAUGCUCAGGCCAGUACAAGUAGGCUUUACAGGAGUCUCUCACUUAGAGCUUCUACAAUUCCAUGAGGCAUAAACCACCAUUGUACACAUGGAGAGACUAAAAUCCAGGGAAGUACUUCAUGCAAUUUCUCUUCAGUGUCAGUCAUGAUUUGCAUCCAAAUAAACCAUAAUUUUGCUCAUCUUUUACUCCUUCUUAUUCACUCCAGAUGCCCAACGAGCCAGUAUGUUCCAUUGGGUUAUCUGUCAUGAAGUGUCUUGUAUGGCAUCUCCCUCUCAUCAUUUCAUUUUUACUUUUCACCUUCACCUUCGUCAUUUUUACCCUCCAGCAGCAAUGUGGGAGGACAUCUCCACAUCCUCCCCAAGUCUUGCUAUUGUUCCUUUCUUUGAUUAUUGCCUUCUGAGUGUGUGUGAGGUGGUAACUCAUUGUGCUGGUGAUUUUCAUUUCCCAAAUGACUCAUGUUGCUGAACAAGAUGAGGGUUCAAUCAAUAUAACCACAGAAAAAUUAGAUUUUUACUGGACAAGAUUCUUAGGAAAACAGUUAAAAGGAAAAAGCAAACAAAACAAAAAUGUAAACGUUUGGCACCUUCAUGACGGCAGCUCACUCCUCUAACUGUUGAGAGAUAGAGUGUGUGUCCAAUCCCCCCACUCUCACUGAAAGUAGAGGCUAUUCAUGUGGUUGGAUUACAGCAUAUACUUUCCAGCUGCUGCAGUUUACUUGCGGGUUCUAAGAAAAACAUAUGGAUUUGGCCAUUUCUCUCUUAUUCUCACAGCUUGGUAUCCUGUCUCCCAUACAUGCAGGUCCUGAACUCCAGUUUGUUCUUCAGAAGCAGGGCCUCAUAGACAUUAGGUAUAUUGAAUUGAAUACGUUGGGGUAGAACAAAAGAAGGGCUAAUUUUAAAUUAAAUGAAAGUAAACACCCAGUUUCUUAUUUAUGUUAGUCACAUGCUAAAUAUACAGUUGGCUUGUGAUUACCUUCUUGGGAAGCACAAAUACAGAACAUUUCUAUCAUUAUUGAAAAUGCUAUUGAACGGUUCUGUGUUAGGUUAUGUUACUGGGUGAAUUUUUUUCUUUUCUUUUUUUGCAUUAAAAACAUUUUGUUCUCUUUAGUUUGUGGUAGAAAACACUCAAUCUGAGUUGGAAAAAUCUGGAGCUGUUUUGUUAGCUCGGCAUUUAAGAGCUUCUUGAUCACGUUUUUUGCCCACUUUUAAAUAGAGUCGUUUGUUUGUUUGUUGAUUUGUAAAUUUGUUUAAGUUCCUUAUAGAAGCUGGAUGUUAGACCUUUGUCAGAUGCACCGUUUGCAAAAUUUUCCUUCUAUUCUGUAGGUUGUCUGUUUAUUCCGUUAGUAGUUUCUUUUGCUGUGCAGAAGCUCUUUAGUAUAAUUAGAUCCCAUUUGUCAAUUUUUGUUUUGUUUCCAUUGCUUUUGGCGUCUUUGUCAUAAAAUCUUUGUCCGUGCCUAUGUCCUGAAUGGUAUUUCCUAGGUUGUCUUCUAGGGUUUUUAUACUUUUGGGUUUUACAUUUACGUCUUUGAUCGAUCUUGAAUGAAUUUUUGUAUAUGGUAAAAGGAGGGGGUCCUGUUUCAAUAUUCUGCAAUUGGGCUAGUCUGUUUUCCCAGCACCAUUUAUUGAAUACAGAGUCCCUUCUCCAUGGCUUGUUUCUGUCAGGUGUGUUUGAAGAUCAGACAGUUGUAGGUGUGCAGUCUUAUACCACAAUAUUUUGGUUAUUAAAGCCUUGUAGUAUAGUUUGAAGAAGGGAAGCAUGAUGUCUCCAGCUUAGUUCUUUUUG